AUCUUCUCAUGAGGUGAUAAACAAUCCUCUUCUGAAGCUCAGACAGCACAACAUCAGCAGACAUCUCAGAGUUGUGAUGGAUGUUUCUUCUCUUCAGCUCAACACAAGAUACAGACGGGCUGCAGAAAUGAAAUAGCAUGGAGAAAACUAUACAAACCAACAGCACAGAGAGAAAAAUGGAGGCCAGAAAUGAAACACAAACCAGUGAAACACAAGAGAAAAGCAGACAGAGACUAGUUAGACGAGACAGUAUGGGACAGCUAAAACCAAACUUCUCAGAUGAUCCAGACGGGCCUGUAAAGUUUCAAUCUGAUGUCAAAAGCUCUUCAGCAUCAUCAACAUCAGUGUCCUCCGGAUAGCAGCGGCUGAAGACCUGAACAUCAUCAUCAUCAUCAUCAUCAUGAUGGCAGGCUCCAUCACUCCAGACUACAGUGUGUUCAGCUCCUGGACUCUUUCAGGGCUAGAGCCACUGCCCCUCUGCCCUCAUCGGCUGAGCUUUCUCACCAUCAGAGACCUGCGCUGGAUGGAUUUUUCUGUCCCGCUCCCGCCCGCAAAAGCCAGCAUAAAAGCAACCUAGAUAGAUUUUUUUUCAGUGCAUCCAUAAAUGUACAUUAAAUAGCUCCGUAACAUCUCCUAAGUUCCACAGCAUUCCAGUAUAAACGCUCCAGAUAAAAUAUUGUUAUUUAGGCCAAGCAUCAACAUUCACAAAGCCCUGUGACAGAAGCAGCACAACAUCUCUCUGUUUCUCCAGAUUUACAGUAGGACUAAAUGAAGAGAAUCACAUUAUGGUGAUAACAUUAUGACAGCUUAAAAUGUUAUCUGAUCUAAUAAAAAAAAUAUAUAU